rfam:Stegodyphus mimosarum contig64114, whole genome shotgun sequence.
AAAAAGGCUCUUUUCAGGGCCAUACAAAUUUUAGAGAUAUGAAGUAU